UGCACACACUGGAAAACCAGCACCUGUACUUAAUGCAGGAGAGACGGCCUCGGUGAUUUAGAAUUCAUCAGCAGCUGUGGAGAGAUGUAUUUGAAUAUCUUCUGGUUCCACUUUUCCUUACCUGGAAGCUGAGGAUGGCUGAUUUCUGACAAGGACACACACCUCAGCGCUUAUCAUGGGUGUUACAUCCUCCGUGCCGCAAUUCCAGAGAAAACGAGAGAGCAACGACCACUGAUUAAGACCAGCCAGAAAUCUGUCACUUUCUGGCAGCUGUGGAAAUUUCCACCUUCUAUUUGGGAGAUUUCCCCCGACAUUUCUUGGUCCUUCGAGCCGGAUGAGACAGCCUAUUUAAAGCAGCUCUCACAGAAGGCGCCUCACCAGGUCCCGUCGGUGCGAGAAGCCCACGUUGAAGUCUGCCGGCAGCUCACGCACUAGGUGUGUGAUAAAACCCAAGAGCGUGAAUUCGGGUCUUGGUCAACGUUUUACAAGCGGUCCGCACCGUCGGGGGCUGAUCAGGUGCAUCUGAAGAAACCAGCGCCAAGUAUCUUGCAGGUUGAAGCCAGGUGAUUGGGUCCUGAUUCGAGUUGUCCAGAGAAAGAAUUGGAGCUCGCCCCGCUGGGAAGGCCCAUACCAAGUGCUUAUCACCACACCAACUGCCUGUAAGAUAGCAGAGAGACCAUCUUGGAUUCACCAAAGCCACUGCAAGAAAGUGAGUGACAGCCCAGACUCAUAGACACCGGCACCCCUACCCUCAGGUGAUCUGACUGGUGAAGGGAGGGCUGAUUGGGUAUAUCCCGCCCUCUGCUUCUUGCCAGUAGUCUACUCACCUGAGGACCUAGGUGUGUUUGGUCGCCAUGAAGACGCUUGUUGUCCUCGUGGCUGUCCUCCUACUCUCAGCAGGGCUCCUCAUGUUUCUAGAGGAUGGUACAGAAGACGAACAGCACCAUCUACGAACGAGAUGGACGCAUGACAAUUCACACCUCCGUGACAUGACACAAGACCACAUUCACCCAUGGAUGAAUAACGCAUGGUACCGCUACGUACAUGACAGAACUAAGGGAGAGCCUAAUAACACUGCAUGUUACGUCUGCUCCCACAUGCCAUGCACCUCGACACAUCCCACCUUUUAUGGAAACUACAUGAAUAAAACACAAGCCAAGUGCGCUGCCAGCUUCGCGGGCAUUGGCUAUCAACAUAAGAAAAUCAUCAUUGAUGAGACAAGCUCUAUCAUCUAUUCAUUUAACCUUCUUAGUAUC